UCAAACUUGGUCAUUUAGAGGAAGUAAAAGUCGUAACAAGGUCUCCGUUGGUGAACCAGCGGAGGGAUCAUUACCGAGUUAUACAACUCCCAAACCCACUGUGAACCUUACCCAUCGUUGCUUCGGCGGGACCGCCCCGGGCCCCGCGCCCGGAACCAGGCGCCCGCCGGAGGCCCAAAAACUCUCAUGUUUCUCCUAGCGGAAUUCCUCUGAGUGGCCCUUAGCGGCAAGCAAAUGAAUCAAAACUUUCAACAACGGAUCUCUUGGUUCUGGCAUCGAUGAAGAACGCAGC
rnacentral:misc_RNA from 1 species